ACGGGUGCGUAACGCGUACACAACGUACCUCUGACAGGGGGAUAGCAUUGGGAAACUGGUGGUAAUACCUCAUAGUAUUGCUGGGAGGCAUUUCUCGGCGAUUAAAGUUACGGCGGUCAGAGAUCGGUGUGCGUCCGAUUAGCUAGUUGGCGGGGUAACGGCCCACCAAGGCGACGAUCGGUAGGGGGUGUGAGAGCAUGACCCCCCACAUGGGUACUGAGACACGGACCCAACUCCUACGGGAGGCAGCAGUAAGGAAUAUUGGACAAUGGUCGGAAGACUGAUCCAGCCAUGCCGCGUGAAGGACGAAGGCGCUCAGCGUUGUAAACUUCUUUUGGAUGGGGAUAAUAACCUCGAUUUAUCGGGGCUUGAAGGUACCAUCAGAAUAAGCACCGGCUAACUCCGUGCCAGCAGCCGCGGUAAUACGGAGGGUGCGAGCGUUAUCCGGAAUCACUGGGUUUAAAGGGUGCGUAGGCGGCGAGGUAAGUCAGUUGUGAAAUUCCCCGGCUCAACCGGUGGGACUGCGAUUGAUACUGCUUUGCUUGAAACAGGUUGAGGUAAGCGGAAUGUGACGUGUAGCGGUGAAAUGCAUAGAUAUGUCAUAGAACACCGAUUGCGAAGGCAGCUUGCUGGGCCUUGUUUGACGCUGAGGCACGAAAGCGUGGGGAGCAAACAGGAUU
rnacentral:rRNA from 1 species